GCUUCUUGGGGCCGCCUUGCCCCGCCCUAGUCCGGCUGCGGCACGGGUUCGGGCGGCUGCUUGGAGGGCCAAGGUGUCCGGGGCAUGAGCGGGGUGUGGGGGACCGGGGAGCCUCGGUGCCAGGCGGCGCUCGCGGUCCUGGCCUCGUUGUGCCGGGCCCGGCCGCCCCCUCUCGGGCUGGACGUGGAGACUUGUCGGAGCUUCGAGCUAGAGCCCCCAGAGAGGAGUCCGAGCGCAGCCCACGCAGGCGCCUCUGUCAGCCUCCUCGCAGUGGUAGUUAUUGUGUGUGGCGUGGCCCUGGUGGCAGUUUUUCUCUUUCUCUUUUGGAAGCUGUGCUGGAUGCCCUGGAGGACCAAGGAGGCCUCCAGUCCCUCCUCUGCUAACCCCUCCCCGGAGGCCCUGCAGAGCCCCAGCUCCAGAGGCAACAUGGCGGACAAGCUGAAGGACCCCAACACCCUGGGCUUCCUAGAGGCGGCUGUGAAGAUCAGCCACACGUCCCCAGAUAUCCCAGCUGAGGUGCAGAUGUCGGUCAAGGAGCAUAUCAUGCGUCACACGCGGCUGCAGCGACAGACCACAGAGCCAGCGUCAUCCACCAGGCACACGUCCUUCAAGCGACACCUGCCGCGGCAGAUGCACGUCUCCAGUGUGGACUAUGGCAAUGAGCUGCCCCCGGCAGCAGAGCAGCCCACCAGCAUUGGCCGCAUCAAGCCCGAGCUCUACAAGCAGAAGUCAGUGGAUGGGGACGAUGCCAAAUCCGAGGCCGCCAAGAGCUGCGGGAAGAUCAACUUCAGCCUGCGCUAUGACUACGAGAACGAGACCCUGAUCGUGCGCAUCCUGAAGGCCUUCGACCUCCCUGCCAAGGACUUUUGCGGCAGCUCUGACCCUUACGUCAAGAUCUACCUCCUGCCCGACCGCAAAUGCAAACUGCAGACCCGGGUGCACCGCAAGACCCUGAACCCCACCUUCGAUGAGAACUUCCACUUCCCUGUGCCCUACGAGGAGCUGGCCGACCGCAAGCUGCAUCUCAGUGUCUUUGAUUUUGACCGCUUCUCCCGCCAUGACAUGAUUGGGGAGGUCAUCCUGGACAACCUCUUUGAGGCCUCCGACCUGUCCCGGGAAACCUCCAUCUGGAAGGACAUCCAGUAUGCCACAAGUGAAAGUGUGGAUUUGGGAGAGAUCAUGUUCUCUCUCUGCUACCUGCCCACGGCAGGCAGGCUCACCCUCACCGUGAUCAAAUGUCGGAACCUUAAGGCGAUGGACAUCACAGGCUAUUCAGAUCCAUACGUCAAAGUGUCCCUGCUUUGUGACGGGCGGAGACUGAAGAAAAAGAAAACCACCAUAAAGAAGAACACCCUCAACCCCGUCUACAAUGAGGCCAUCAUCUUUGACAUUCCCCCGGAGAAUAUGGAUCAAGUCAGCCUGCUCAUCUCGGUUAUGGAUUACGAUCGUGUGGGCCACAACGAGAUCAUAGGAGUCUGUCGUGUGGGGAUCAGCGCCGAGGGCCUGGGCAGGGACCACUGGAAUGAGAUGCUGGCGUACCCACGGAAGCCCAUCGCACACUGGCACUCCUUGGUGGAGGUAAAGAAAUCCUUCAAAGAGGGAAACCCUCGGUUGUGAUUUCAUUCACGUGGAUGCUGCAAGCAGAGAGACUGCCACCCGGAGUUAGGAUGGCAGGGCCAGGCGGCCAGCUUCGACAGCGAGAGCUCGUGCCCAUCUCCGAAACCACCUCCGACACCGUGAGCUGCACAGCCGGGCGACACAAACUAGACUCAGCAGCGUUCUUUUUGCACUUGUUCAACGUCUAAACACAGUGUUGUGCGGCGGGCGGGGGCAGCACGCCCCUUACUCCAGAAUCUUAGCUGCCCCUGUGUAGGUCAAGGCCAAGACACUUGUCCUGUGGUCCGAGCUGUCUUAGUCUUUUCUGUCUCCCAAGGUGAUGUUUUUUGUGGUCUUUUCACUUUUUAUGGAUCUGCUGUCAAGAAGAAGAAGAAAGAAAAAAAAAGUAGAGAAAGACAAAGGGGAAGAGCCCAGACACGGGGUUCUAUUAAAUACAAUGUAAAAUAGUCUUUUUGGGGGGAGGUGGUUUGAGUUUCUGAAAUUUUGUGUCUCCACCAAGCCCCUCUGCCCACAAGCAGAAGGAAGUGGGACGGAACUACAGCUGCUUUUUCUAGGAGCCAGUGGGGAAGGCACAGGUCUAGUGAAGAGCUUUUACAAAGGCUACUUGUGACUCAGAAGUUCUUUGCUGAUGUGCUAUAAACUGAGAUGCCGACUCCCGGUCCCGUGUUGAAACUGUGAGGCUCCGAGGUGUCUCUUAACCUUCAGCUGGUCAUGCAGGGCUCCGGGCUCCCCUUCCUCUCAGACUUUCCCCCUGAAUUGACCAUAUCUUGAUUCCUCAUGGAAACUGAGUCACUUUCUUUAGGAAUGAUUCUACUGACACGAAACAUGCCGUAUAUUUUCUGACACACCAUGGUUCAUGACCACAUUUGUUUGAAAACAGGAUAUUUGUUCUCGAAAAUAACCUUCAUUUUGAGAAAGAAAAAAAAAAAA